GCCUGGAUGGCUUAGUCGGUUGAGCAUCUGACUUCAGCUCAGGUCAUGAUCUCAUGGUUCGUGAGUUUGAGCCCCAUGUUGGGGUU
rnacentral:tRNA from 1 species